rnacentral:rRNA from 1 species
GACGAACGCUGGCGGCGUGCUUAACACAUGCAAGUCGAACGGUGAAGCGCCUUCCUUUUUGGUGGGUGUGGAUGAGUGGCGAACGGGUGAGUAACACGUGAGUAACCUGCCCCCUUCUUCUGGAUAACCGCAUGAAAGUGUGGCUAAUACGGGAUAUUCUGGGUCUGUCGCAUGAUGGGUCUGGGAUAGAUAUUGUUUCGGUGGGGGAUGGGCUCGCGGCCUAUCAGCUUGUUGGUGGGGUGAUGGCCUACCAAGGCGGUGACGGGUAGCCGGCCUGAGAGGGUGGACGGUCACACUGGGACUGAGACACGGCCCAGACUCCUACGGGAGGCAGCAGUGGGGAAUAUUGCACAAUGGGCGCAAGCCUGAUGCAGCGACGCCGCGUGAGGGAUGGAGGCCUUCGGGUUGUGAACCUCUUUCGCCAGUGAAGCAGGCCUGCCUCGUUUGUGGGUGGGUUGACGGUAGCUGGAUAAGAAGCGCCGGCUAACUACGUG